GUGCGCGUGCUAUAAUGCAAGUCGAGCGGACAGAUGGGAGCUUGCUCCCUGAUGUUAGCGGCGGACGGGUGAGUAACACGUGGGUAACCUGCCUGUAAGACUGGGAUAACUCCGGGAAACCGGGGCUAAUACCGGAUGGUUGUUUGAACCGCAUGGUUCAAACAUAAAAGGUGGCUUCGGCUACCACUUACAGAUGGACCCGCGGCGCAUUAGCUAGUUGGUGAGGUAACGGCUCACCAAGGCAACGAUGCGUAGCCGACCUGAGAGGGUGAUCGGCCACACUGGGACUGAGACACGGCCCAGACUCCUACGGGAGGCAGCAGUAGGGAAUCUUCCGCAAUGGACGAAAGUCUGACGGAGCAACGCCGCGUGAGUGAUGAAGGUUUUCGGAUCGUAAAGCUCUGUUGUUAGGGAAGAACAAGUACCGUUCGAAUAGGGCGGUACCUUGACGGUACCUAACCAGAAAGCCACGGCUAACUACGUGCCAGCAGCCGCGGUAAUACGUAGGUGGCAAGCGUUGUCCGGAAUUAUUGGGCGUAAAGGGCUCGCAGGCGGUUUCUUAAGUCUGAUGUGAAAGCCCCCGGCUCAACCGGGGAGGGUCAUUGGAAACUGGGGAACUUGAGUGCAGAAGAGGAGAGUGGAAUUCCACGUGUAGCGGUGAAAUGCGUAGAGAAUGUGGAGGAACACCAGUGGCGAAGGCGACUCUCUGGUCUGUAACUGACGCUGAGGAGCGAAAGCGUGGGGAGCGAACAGGAUUAGAUACCCUGGUAGUCCACGCCGUAAACGAUGAGUGCUAAGGGGUUAGGGGGUUUCCGCCCCUUAGUGCUGCAGCUAACGCAUUAAGCACUCCGCCUGGGGGAGUACGGUCGCAAGACUGAAACUCAAAGGAAUUGACGGGGGCCCGCACAAGCGGUGGGAGCAUGUGGUUUAAUUCGAAGCAACGCGAAGAACCUUACCAGGUCUUGACUCCUCUGACAUCCUAAAGAUAGGACGUCCCCUUCGGGGCAGAAUGACAGGUGGUGCAUGGUUGCCUCACUCCGGGCCGGAGA
rnacentral:rRNA from 1 species